rnacentral:lncRNA from 1 species
CCCAUUUUCUUUGUAAGUUUCUAAAUGGAAGUUUUAAAAAGUUAAGCAGUAGUAAAAUAAAUGUUAUAUUAUUUGUACAACAUAUAAUUGUUACUCUUUGGAAUGUGUGAACCUUGUAACAUGCUGACUAAGGGUUAAAAAAAUGUUGCCGAGUUAAGGAAAUUUGCUUGAGAUUGCCAACAUUCCAAAAUUCUGUAAAGAUAAUUUUACAAUCACUUCCAUGUGUUUACUAAUGUUGACUAGGAACAGAAGCAAAAAUACUUACACCCUUUUAAUUUUCACACUCUAACCAGUAUUAUAUAUUUCAACUACCUAAGAUAAUGCAAUUAAUAACAUAUUCAUCUUAAGCUUAUGCCAAUAAGAAUUUGAGAUAAGCUUUUAAAUUUAUGGAGGAUUUUCUUUGUGUCUUUGGAAGUUCACUUACCAUAAGGUAUUUUAUAAUCUACUUUAAAUAACAGAUUUUGUUAUACAGGGUAAGCCAAAGGCUGUACAAGAAUUAGUGUCUGGGUCUGAUAUUUGUGUUAGACCAUGAAAUAUUCCAUUAAAAUUUAUCUGU